rnacentral:lncRNA from 10 species
CAGGAAUCAAAAGUCAGCAUCACUUUCUGGCCAAACCAAAGGAACAACUGUAUGAUAAAAAGUGAAAGUUGAGGACUCUACAGUCAGUUAUUUCAACAUCACUGUGAGAUGAUUUUCUUAUAGACUUUCUAAAUUUCAGUGCUUUAGCCACUGCCAUCCAACUUCUAUGCAAAGAAAUGUCUUGGCUAGCUUCUACUUAAGUGAAAGACUUACAGGAUCUACUAUAAUCCUAUCCAGAGAGGAGAUGGCUUACAGGAGGCAACUAGAUUCAUGAUGUGUGACUGUCAAAAGUGGGAGAUAAAUUGAAGAAGGAGAAGGAAGAGGAGGAGAAGGGGAUGGGGGAUAAGAAGGAAGAGGAAGAAAGAGGAAGAGAAGGAGGGAAGGAGGAGAAGAGGAAGGAACAGCAGCAGCAACAAAACAGGAAAUAUAUAUGAGAAACCAGAGCCCUUCAUCACAAAGCUAAACAUACACAUCAGACCAAUGAGUUGGAGAAGGGUGGCUCACUCCUGAAAUCCCAGCACUUUGGGAGGCCAAGACAGGAAGAUUCCUUGAGACAGAGUUUGAGACUGCAGUGAUCUAUGAUUGCACCACUGCACUCCAAACUGGGUGACAGAGCAAGACACUGACUCACAAAAAAACAGAGACAGAGAAAAAGGAGUCUGAAAGGCCAAAGGAGGAUCAAGGAGAAGACAAAGUCCUUGCAGGCCCAACUGCUGCUUCAUGCCAAGAAGAUGGGAUGGCAGAUGAGCAAUCCUACAUGUGAGUCACUAAGC